rnacentral:misc_RNA from 1 species
AGAAAAUAGAUCUUUAAUAGUUAACAACUAACAAGUAUGUUUCUUGACACAUGUUGCUUCAUGGAAUACCUUGUUUAUUGCAUUAUGGUUUUCCCAAAUGCCGUUAUGCUACAAGUAGAUGCUGUGCAAAGAAACUGUCCAUUGUCUAGGUCAAUGAUAAUUUGCAAGAUGAAAGAUAAUGAUAAGUAACCAAUCAAUGAGAAGAUG